UGAGGUAGUUGGUUUUGUGGC
rnacentral:miRNA from 1 species